GACGAACGCUGGCGGCGUGCUUAACACAUGCAAGUCGAACGGAAAGGCCCUGCUUUCGUGGUGUGCUAGUGUGGAACGCGGGAGUGACACAUGUGAGUUAUCUGCUCUUCUCUUUGGGAUACCUUCAGGACACUGGGGCUAAUCCCGGAUAGGCGCUCCUGCUGCAUGGUGUGGGUAGGAUAGUUUCGUCGGUUGGGGAUGGACUCGCGGCUUAUCGGCUUGUGGGGGGGUUAGUGGCUUACCAAGGCUUUGACGGGUAGCCGGCCUGAGUGGGUGACCGGCAACAUUGGGACUGGAUUACGGCCCAGACUCCUACGGGAGGCAGCAGUGGGGAUUAUGGCACAUGGGGCGGAGGCCGAUGGCAGCAACGCCGCGUGCGGAUUGAGGGCCUUCGGUUGGUAAACCGCUUUCGCCGGUGACGAGGCGUUAGUGACGGUAAUGGGUAAAGAAGCACCGGCUAACUACGUG
rnacentral:rRNA from 1 species